UUGAGCCGGAGGCGCGGGGGCGGAGCAGGGGAACUGGAAUUUCCCGCGGAGCCGACGGCGCCCUCUCUCCCCCGCCCCCCCCACUACGCGUUUGAAUUCCACGCGCUCCAAAAUACCCGCCAUGGAGAAAUCUUGGCCGUUGUAGGCCCCCCGGGGCUGCUGUCCUGGCGGCCAGGCAGGGUGUGACUCAGGUCUGACCGUCGGCCGGCCGCCCUCGUCAUGAACUUUGAGGGUCUGGAUCCUGGACUGGCCGAAUUUUCCCCAGCUAUGCACUCUACCCUGGACCCGGUCCUGGAUGCCCACCUGAACCCCAAUCUGCUACAGAAUGUGGAGCUGGACCCAGAGGGGGUGGCCUUGGAGGCGCUCCCCGUCCAGGAGUCAGUGCACAUAAUGGAAGGUGUCUACUCGGAGUUGCACAGCGUGGUGGCCGAAGUGGGAGUGCCCGUGUCCGUCUCCCACUUUGACUUACAUGAGGAGAUGCUGUGGGUGGGGAGCCAUGGGGGCCACGCCACUUCGUUCUUCGGCCCAGCCUUGGAACGCUACUCCUCUUUUCAAAUCCACGGCAGUGACGACAUUCGGCAAAUCCAGAGCCUGGAAAACGGCGUCCUUUUCCUCUCCAAGAACAACCUCAAGUACAUGGCCCGAGGCGGGCUCAUCCUGUUUGACUAUUUGCUGGAUGAGUGUGAGGAUAUGCACAGUCUCCUGCUGACUGACAGCAGCACCCUGCUCAUUGGUGGGCUGCAGAACCACAUACUGGAGAUCGACCUGAACACUGUCCAGGAGACCCAGAAGUAUGCAGUGGAGAUACCCGGGGUCACCAUCAUGAGGCAGACGAACCGAUUCUUCUUCUGUGGCCACACAUCUGGCAAGGUGUCCCUGCGAGACCUCCGUACGUUUAAAGUGGAGCAUGAAUUUGAUGCCUUCUCAGGGAGUCUGUCAGAUUUUGAUGUUCAUGGGAACCUGCUGGCUGCCUGUGGCUUCUCUAGCCGCCUCACUGGCCUGGCCUGUGACCGUUUCCUCAAGGUGUAUGACUUACGCAUGAUGCGUGCCAUCACGCCCCUGCAAGUACACGUGGAUCCUGCCUUCUUGCGUUUCAUCCCUACAUACACUUCCCGUCUCGCUAUCAUCUCCCAGUCCGGUCAGUGCCAAUUUUGUGAACCCACCGGCCUGGCCAACCCAGCCGACAUCUUUCAUGUGCAUCCCGUGGGACCACUGCUGAUGACGUUUGAUGUGUCAGCCAGCAAGCAGGCCCUGGCCUUUGGGGACUCCCAGGGCUGUGUGCACCUCUGGACGGACUCCCCAGAGCCCUCCUUCAACCCCUACUCCCGAGAGACUGAGUUUGCCCUGCCCUGCCUUGUGGACUCACUGCCGCCUCUGGACUGGAGCCAGGACCUGCUGCCUCUCUCCCUUAUUCCCGUCCCACUCACCACUGACACGCUGCUCUCCGACUGGCCCGCUGCCAACUCCGCUCCUGCCCCCAGGCGAGCACCACCUGUGGAUGCGGAAAUCCUCCGAACAAUGAAGAAAGUGGGCUUCAUCGGCUACGCACCCAACCCUCGCACCAGGCUGCGCAACCAGAUUCCCUAUCGACUAAAGGAGUCAGACAGUGAAUUUGACAACUUCAGCCAAGUCACGGAGUCACCAAUAGGACGAGAGGAAGAGCCACAUCUCCACAUGGUUUCUAAGAAGUACCGAAAGGUAACCAUCAAAUACUCCAAGCUAGGGCUGGAAGACUUUGACUUCAAACACUACAAUAAGACACUGUUUGCUGGAUUAGAGCCCCACAUCCCCAACGCCUACUGUAACUGCAUGAUCCAGGUGCUCUAUUUCUUGGAGCCCGUUCGCUGUCUAAUCCAGAACCACCUUUGCCAGAAGGAGUUCUGCCUGGCAUGUGAGCUUGGCUUCCUCUUCCAUAUGCUGGACCUCUCCCGAGGUGAUCCUUGUCAGGGCAGUAAUUUUCUUCGAGCAUUCCGUACUAUUCCUGAGGCCUCAGCCCUGGGUCUCAUCCUGGCUGAUUCGGAUGAGGCUUCAGGCAAGGGCAGUCUGGCCAGGCUCAUCCAGAGGUGGAAUCGCUUCAUUCUUACUCAGCUGCAUCAGGAUAUGCAGGAGCUGGAAGUACCCCAGGCUUAUCGAGGUGUUGGAGGCAGUUUCUGCUCCUCAGGGGACUCCGUCAUCGGGCAGCUGUUCAGCUGCGAGAUGGAGAACUGCAGCCUCUGCCGCUGCGGCAGUGAGACCGUGCGAGCCUCGUCCACUCUGCUCUUCACACUCUCCUACCCCGAGGGCAGCAUCUCUGAUAAAACCGGGAAGAGCUAUGACUUUGCUCAUGUGCUGAAGCGAAGUAUCUGCCUGGAGCAGAACACACAGGCCUGGUGUGAGAACUGUGAGCGGUACCAGCCCACGAUUCAGACCCGCAAUAUCCGACAUCUGCCAGAUAUUCUUGUCAUUAAUUGUGAAGUGAAUAGCUCAAAAGAGGCUGAUUUCUGGAGAUUACAAGCUGAGGUUGCCUUCAAAAUAGCGGUAAAGAAAUAUGGUGGGGAAAUUAAGAACAAGGAGUUUACUUUGGCUGACAGGAAGGAACCAAGGAGUCCGGAGGGCUUGCUGUGCUCCUCCAUGGAGGAGCUGAGGAAUGUCUGGCUUCCGUUUUCUAUCCGCAUGAAAAUGACCAAGAACAAAGGGCUGGACGUUUGCAAUUGGACUGAUGGGGAUGAGAUGCAGUGGGGUCCAGCCAGGGCAGAGGAGGAGCAUGGUGUCUAUGUGUAUGACCUGAUGGCUACUGUGGUACACAUCCUGGACUCACGGACAGGAGGCAGCUUGGUGGCUCACAUCAAAGUUGGCGAGACCUACCACCAGCGCAAGGAGGGCGUGACUCACCAGCAGUGGUAUCUUUUCAAUGACUUCCUUAUUGAACCUAUUGAUAAGUAUGAAGCUGUGCAGUUUGACAUGAAUUGGAAAGUACCAGCUAUCCUGUAUUACGUCAAAAGGAACCUCAAUUCCAGAUACAACCUGAACAUCAAGAACCCGAUUGAGGCCAGUGUGCUGCUGGCAGAAGCCUCGCUGGCACGGAAGCAGCGGAAAACACAUACUACCUUCAUUCCCCUGAUGCUGAAUGAGAUGCCACAGGUCGGGGACCUGGUGGGCCUCGAUGCCGAGUUUGUCACUCUGAAUGAGGAAGAAGCCGAGUUACGCAGUGAUGGUACCAAGUCUACCAUUAAACCAAGCCAGAUGUCAGUAGCAAGGAUCACCUGUGUUCGGGGCCAAGGGCCUAAUGAAGGUAUCCCCUUCAUUGAUGACUACAUCUCUACUCAGGAGCAGGUAGUAGACUACUUGACUCAGUACUCGGGGAUAAAGCCAGGAGACCUCGAUGCCAAAAUUUCCUCCAAGCACCUCACAACUCUCAAGUCUACCUACUUAAAGCUUCGUUUUCUCAUCGAUAUUGGAGUCAAGUUUGUGGGUCACGGUCUGCAGAAGGACUUCCGGGUCAUCAACCUCAUGGUGCCCAAGGACCAAGUUCUUGACACAGUCUACCUGUUCCACAUGCCCCGAAAACGAAUGAUUUCCCUACGAUUUCUUGCUUGGUACUUUCUAGACCUGAAGAUUCAAGGCGAGACCCAUGACAGUAUUGAGGAUGCCCGUACAGCGCUUCAGCUCUACCGAAAGUAUCUGGAGCUGAGCAAGAAUGGCGCUGAGCCCGAGUCCUUCCACAAGGUGCUCAAGGGUCUGUAUGAGAAGGGCCGGAAGAUGGACUGGAAGGUGCCUGAGCCUGAAAACCAGACAAGCCCCAAGAACACGGCUGUCUUCCCCCCAGUGCUGGCACUGUGACCUGUGUGACCUGCCCUUGCCGUUCAUGUCCUGUGACACUGACCUGAGAGACGGCCUCUCCAGCCGGCUUCACCUUGUCUACUUCCAGACCUGGAUCUGCUCAGGGCCUGCAGAUGGUGGUGCUGUUCAUAGAACUGGAAGCAGCAAAAUUGUUGCAGAUGUUCUAGAAGCCAGAUCCCCUCUUUAUCCUCUGCAGACAGUGGGCCAGAACCAAAGCCCAAACUGACCCAGUUCCCAGCCAGCUAGAGAACUGAAGUCCUGGACAAUGACGGUGCAGUGCAGACGGCUGCAGCUCCAGGCGAGAGGUGAUCCCUGGAUGGACCAGCAUAUGGACUCUUAACGGGCCAGUCACACCGGUGCAGAGGGAGCUGGGCUACGGCUUCGUUCCCAAUGACAGCUCACAAGUAUCGGUCUUCCAUGCAUUCUAUCUUGAGUUUUGUUUGUUUGUUUGUUUGUUUAAUUUGCUUAAA